ACGGCGGCCGUGUGGUGUCAGACGGAAGCGGUGGGGUGCAAAGCGGAGCGGUGCUGGCAUCAUGUCGGGCCGAGAGGGCGGCAAGAAGAAGCCGCUGAAGCAGCCGAAGAAACAGACGAAGGACCUGGAUGAGAUCUGGCAUUUAAACAAAAGCAGAAGGAGGAGCAAAAGAAACUUGAGGAGAUGAAAGCAAAGGCUGCUGGAAAAGGGCCCCUCGAGGAUGAAAUUCAAGAGCAGAAGAUUCAUGACAGAAGGGGGGAAAAAAUGUCACGAAAGAAACCUGUGACUGGAAAUAAGACUGGUUUCAGUGCUCUUGCUUAAGUGAAUGUAAAGUACGCUCUGUCAAAUAAGAAAUGUUGCAGAGUGGAUUGUGAUCGUUCACCCAGCCUGCUCUAUAUUUCAAAUGAUGGCAGUAGGAAAUACUGUUAAUACUGUCUGUCCAUUCACUUUGUACUCCUCUGUCCUUUGCAGGGAUUGUACUAGGGGUGUUAAAGGGUACAUCCUGCCUAUUCCCUUUGGGUUAUUUUGUAUGUCAUCCAUUAAUGUGGCCAAUCCCUUCUCCAUUCUAUAAUGACCUUUAAACUUCACCCUUUACUGAUUCUUUAGUAAACUUUAAGUCUUUGACAGGUCCUGGAAGGACCUUCCCAGCAAUCCCACAGCAACUUAGUGUCACAAACUACUUUUGCAACAGAGUCUUGUCAGAUGCUGUUUGAAAAUAUGAAAUCACCAGAAUUCACUUUAUCCAUACACUUAUUGAUACCCUUUGAGUUCCAGCAGGUCACUAAGGAUUUAUCAUUUACAGAAGUCUUACUAACUUUCACAGGACUACAUUUAUCCAUUUUUGCCUUAAUUACAAGCUGUUAUCUUGCCAGAGAUCAAGGUUAGACUCUGUGAUUCUCUAGUUUCAUCCCAGAACUCUUUCUGCACAUGGGAGUUAUGCUGGCAGUGUAGCUGGCAGAUCACCAACAUAGAAGAAUAAGACACAAUAAAGUCCUCUGAUGCAGUGGCUGUAUUGAUAAAUUACAAAUCUUAGCCAGCGGUUUUGCAACUUCAUAUGUGAGUUUGUGCUCUUGGGGCGGAACACAAUCCAGUCCCACUGACUUGGGGUAUUUCUUGCCUGUUUAUCUCAGAUGGAUCUAGCUGCUCUGAUUUAUCUGCUUACAAAAAAUAUGCUGGUUGUGGGACGUACAGAAUGUCUUUGGCAUUACAGAUGU
ensembl:lncRNA